rnacentral:lncRNA from 1 species
AGAACUUAAGAAACUUUACAAAGACAAAAGAUGUUGUCAUAUUGGAAUCAACAGAAACGUUAGUCUCCAUGGAAACAGUAACCAUCUUCAAGCUUUCAACAAAAGCUCCAUUUCUUAGCUUCAUUUCGUUCAAUACUUCAAAAAAAAGAAGCAUAAGCUUAAUUCCAUCCGAAUUUUGUGGUUCUAAAAGAGUACGGUGCAAUCUUCGUCAAGAAUAUUAUACGGAGUUUUCCCUACUCUAGGUAUGUUAAGGCUAUCCCUUCUUUCUUUUUGGCAUGAUCCAAAUUAUACAGAACGAACGAGCAAACACACGGUUUCCAUAAAUUACUCUAUUCAUAGAAAUACUAGGGAUGUCUAUAUUCUUGAUUUCCCCAUGUGAACUAUUAUUAUCUUCUGUUCAUGAGUCCUGGAACAAUAUGUAUUUGAUAAUGUUUGUCCGAAAGGCGUAUUGAUGUUUAUAGCUUACUAGAGGAUUUACGAUCCAGCAGAAUUGCGGUUAUAAAUUUAAUGCUAGAUGUCUUGUUUAUAAUAACCUGUAGCAUGAGAAUAUUAGGCCUAUUACUAGCAAUAUAAUGUACUCUUUUCAUAUUAUGUCUAUAACAAUGUAUUACUGCAAAAAUUGAAGUUUCAUUUCAUAUAACUAUUCUAUGUUGAAGUUCAAUUAAACUUCAUUUAAGGAUGACACUCCGAAAAAAUUUUAUUGACGUACUUUUCAUGCAUUGCAUUCAUUUACAUUAACCCAUGACCAGAUGACAUAAUAUAUGCGUAUAUAUGUAUAUUAUAUGUAUGUGGGAUAUGUGAAAAAGGUUACGGCAUUAUAUAUGCACCACCACCUUUAUCAGUUGGUAUAUGUUGAUGAUAUUGCCCACAGUGGCCGAGACGAUAUGGUGGGAUGCCCUCAGUGGCGUGAUGAUGUUAUGUACACCUAUACCCAUGUAUGACACGACAUUUAUAUACACGUGCAUAACACUAUAAAUGUUUCAGUAUUUACAAAGUUAUUCACAUUUACAGAUGGAUUUCUUUAUUCCAUGUUUCAUCUAUGCCUUUUAUGUACAGAUUUUUAUGCCUUACAAACUCAGUACAUUUUUCAUACUGACGCCCUAUUUCACGGGGCAUGUGUUUCAUGCCCGCAGGUGCAGGUAGGUGGUUGACGGUCCCCCUUCUUAGGAUCCCUGAUCAGCGAGAGUUGGCGUGCUCCACUUGAUCUGGAGCUGCUUUUGAUUUUGGUACGAUAUGUUUGUAUAUAUAUAGAGAUAUGACGUGGCUCAGUCCCGUCUUUGUAUAGUUAUAUUUCUAUUAGAGGUCUGUAGACGGUAUGCCUAGUUGGAUAGUAUGUGGCCUUGCCGGCUUCCGGUUUUGAGGUAUAUAGUUGUCUAUAGUAGCCUUGUCGGCUCGCCCUACGUAUGUUGCACGUAUAUGUAUGUAUGCCUUUUGGGCAGGUUUCCUUCAUGUAUAUUAUUCUCGUAAUUCAGCAGA